UCCACCUGCAGCUGGCCAUGGGCAUUCUCUUACGUGACGAGCCCCUGACACAUGGGCACUCUCAUUCCAGAGGCAUUGGCCAUCUCAGCCAGACAAGAUCAUCAUGGAGGCCAGGCUGGAGCACAUCCUCAGGACCUCUUGUGCCCGGCAGAGCUUCUGGGGAGAAGUAGACUGACUACGCACACUGGCUGCGGCACUCCCUCCACCUGGGGCUCUGUGACCUGUCCAGGGGUGCAGAGAAGAGAGUGUGGUGCUGCGGGCUUGUGCCCACAGGCAGUCAGCAGAGGUGGAGGUCCUGUUCCUGGAUGGCAGGCCGCCCUUCCAGCCCCUGGGACACCUGACCUUGCAGGCUGCCAACCACAGCCUCCUGCUGGCUGCAUACGGCUGCCAGGGUUGCCUGCUGGACCAUGUGGAGGCCAGGAUUGCAGCAGUUGGCUCCCAGGUGCGAGCCUGGCUGGAAAAGAAGGCUCAUGGCUUGGGGGCCUCUGUGAGAAGGUUCCAGCACCUGGUACAGCCGGCAGGCACCCUGGAUGGCGUGGCAGGCCUCCUCCUUCGGCUGUCCCAGGCAGGGCUGGAGGCUGUGCAGUAGCCCACCAGAUACUGUCCUGGGCUGAGGCCACAUUCUCACGGGCACUGAAGAGGCUCUGCAAACCCCUGCUGGACCUGUAUGGCCUCACAGCCAGGUAA
rnacentral:lncRNA from 13 species